rnacentral:rRNA from 1 species
GGAGUUAGCCGGUGCUUCUUCUGUGAGUGAUGUCCUUCCUGCCGGCUAUUAACCCGCAGGCCUUCUUCCUCACUGAAAGUGCUUUACAACCCGAAGGCCUUCUUCACACACGCGGCAUGGCUGGAUCAGGGUUGCCCCCAUUGUCCAAUAUUCCCCACUGCUGCCUCCCGUAGGAGUCUGGGCCGUGUCUCAGUCCCAGUGUGGCUGAUCAUCCUCUCAGACCAGCUACGGAUCGUCGCCUUGGUGAGCCGUUACCUCACCAACCAGCUAAUCCGACAUAGGCUCAUCCGAUAGCGCGAGGCCCGAAGGUCCCCCGCUUUCCCCCGUAGGGCGUAUGCGGUAUUAGCCUGGGUUUCCCCAGGUUAUCCCCCACUACCGGGCAGAUUCCUAUGCAUUACUCACCCGUCCGCCGCUCGCCACCAGGGAGCAAGCUCCCCGUGCUGCCGCUCGACUUGCAUGUGUUAGGCCUGCCGCCAGCGUUCAAUCUGAACCAAGAUCAAAUUCUGA